rnacentral:rRNA from 1 species
CUUAUCGGAGCUUUCCUUCGGGACAGAGGAGACAGGUGGUGCAUGGUUGUCGUCAGCUCGUGUCGUGAGAUGUUGGGUUAAGUCCCGCAACGAGCGCAACCCCUAUUUUUAGUAGCCAGCGGUACGGCCGGGCACUCUAAAGAGACUGCCGGGGAUAACCCGGAGGAAGGGGGGGAUGACCUCAAAUCAUCAUGCCCCUUACGAUUUGGGCUACACACGUGCUACAAUGGCGUAAACAAAGGGAAUCUUGUACACACCGACGAGUGAUCUAGAGCAAAUCCCAAAAAUAACGUCUCAGUUCGGAUUGUAGUCUGCAACUCGACUACAUGAAGCUGGAAUCGCUAGUAAUCGCGAAUCAAAAUGUCGCGGUGAAUACGUUCCCGGGUCUUGUACACACCG